CGUCGUCUUCUCCUCGCAGUGCCGGCCGAGCUACGGCGGUGACCCGGCCGCUGUUCUCCUCCCUACCACCGUCCUCUUCUCCUCGCUGCUCUACAUCCGUCCUGUUCGCCACGCCACCGCUGCUCACCCUCCGCCUCAACUUAGUACUUGCUCCAUUGCCGCCGUCUUCUCUCGGCCUAAUAAAUCUUACAACUUCUGGUGAUUGAUGCGAUGGAUGAGGAGAAUUUGGUGGUUGCUGCUGAUUUUGGUGCUUUGAGCAUCCAUUUCUUGGAGAAGACUCAAAAUUUGGAGGAGAUAGUUGACCAGGGCCACAAAGAUUAGUUCCGGCACGCUACCUGUUCGAUGAAAUGCCCACAGCACCCCCAGCGACGUCUUGUUCACCUCUCUUCCCACAACACUACCUAUUCGAUGAAAUGUCCUUUCGUUGUAUGAAGGACAACAUGACAUGCUGUACUAUUGCAUCAGAGUGAACUAAAGAUGCUCAACACACUGGCAUGCAAUACGAGAUGAUGGAUCUUAUGCAUGUGAGCAAUGAAAUACAAGAAACUAUCGGUAGAAACUACUACGUCCCAGAUUACAUU